rnacentral:rRNA from 1 species
GUGGGGAAUCUUAGACAAUGGGGGAAACCCUGAUCUAGCCAUGCCGCGUGAGCGAUGAAGGCCUUAGGGUUGUAAAGCUCUUUCAGCUGGGAAGAUAAUGACGGUACCAGCAGAAGAAGCCCCGGCUAACUCCGUGUCAGCAGCCGCGGUAAUACGGAGGGGGCUAGCGUUGUUCGGAAUUACUGGGCGUAAAGCGCACGUAGGCGGAUCAGAAAGUCAGAGGUGAAAUCCCAGGGCUCAACCUUGGAACUGCCUUUGAAACUCCUGGUCUUGAGGUCGAGAGAGGUGAGUGGAAUUCCGAGUGUAGAGGUGAAAUUCGUAGAUAUUCGGAGGAACACCAGUGGCGAAGGCGGCUUCCUGGCACAAUACUGACGCUCAUGUGCGAAAGCUAGGGCAGCGAACGGGAUUAGAAACCCGGGUAGUCC